GACGAACGCUGGCGGCGUGCCUAACACAUGCAAGUCGAGCGAGAUCCAUCCAGUGGCAACACUGGUGAAGAUCUAGCGGCGAACGGGUGAGUAACACGUGAGGAACCUGCCCCGAAGACCGGGAUAACCCGAGGAAACUCGAGCUAAUACCGGAUACCCCCACGAGAUCACAUGGUCUUGUGAGGAAAUGUCUUUUCGCUUCGGGAGGGCCUCGCGGCCUAUCAGCUAGUUGGCGGGGUAACGGCCCACCAAGGCAUCGACGGGUAGCUGGUCUGAGAGGACGAUCAGCCACACUGGGACUGAGACACGGCCCAGACUCCUACGGGAGGCAGCAGUGGGGAAUCUUGCGCAAUGGGCGAAAGCCUGACGCAGCAACGCCGCGUGGGGGACGAAGGCUCUCGGGUUGUAAACCCCUUUCAGGAGGGACGAAAUUGACGGUACCUCCAGAAGAAGCCCCGGCCAACUACGUGCCAGCAGCCGCGGUAACACGUAGGGGGCAAGCGUUGUCCGGAUUUAUUGGGCGUAAAGAGCUCGUAGGUGGCUCGGUAAGUCGGGUGUGAAAUUUCGAGGCUCAACCUCGAGACGCCACCUGAUACUGC
rnacentral:rRNA from 1 species